UGGCAUCUUUAGUAAACCCCCCAGUUGCAAUCUGUGGCCCCUGGGACAAGAAAAGGUGCAAGAUCAAUCUUAGAACAUCCAAAACAGAGAGCCACUUGUUUGACUCUUUGUUAUUUCACCUCUAAGACAAAA